rnacentral:piRNA from 1 species
UCCAAAUCGUGCUGGUAGCUUAGUUCC